UCGCAAUUUGUUCUAAGUGAUACGUCUGCUUCACACUAAGAAUGAAUCGCAGAAUUCUGUGAAAUUAUUCACCGAAACAAAACUGUAAAGUAUGUUUCUACAGAUCUUUCUGUGAAAUGCAAUGUUUUCCAAUCCAACUGUCAAAGUUUCACAGAAGUUUCGGUAAAGGCAAACAAAUUACCAAAUUCUGUGAAAUUUUUACAUUGCGGUUCGGUAAACAUCACAAUUUUCACCGCACACUGCAGUUUUCACCGGAUUUCUGUAAAACCAUUAAUCAUUGUCUAAUCAAAAGUGGUUGGUUUUGGUUGUUGUUUCAUGAAGUGGAAACACUCAGCAGAAUAACACGAUAAUGGAAGAAGUUUAGGAUAAUUUCCAACAGCAGCACGAAGAACUGCCAACUAUCUGCUGUUUCUUCCGGAUUGAGGUGCGUGGAACUUGGCCCGAAUGCGUCACAACGAUGCAUCGUCACAUCAUAUCUACACAACCACGUUCAUCAUACUAAUGUGUGAAUCAUUAUUAAAAUUAACUCUGUAUCUGAUUGUGAUUUAAUAAAAAUGUGGAAUAAUACCGUGAAUAGCAAAUCAACUUAUUGAAAAGUCAUCGUAAUUUUGUAUAAAAAU